GGUUCUGUGGUGUAGUGGUUAGCACGUCUGCUUUACACGCAGAAGGUCCUGGGUUCGAGCCCUAGCGGAACCA
rfam:Otolemur garnettii contig085497, whole genome shotgun sequence.